rnacentral:lncRNA from 1 species
CACCUCUCUAAGCCUCGGCUCCAAUUCCUUAUUCUUCUUAGCAAUAGUAUGUAGAUCAAAAAUCUUUUUCUCCUAUUUAUUGACCUUUCACUGAUGAUCCAGUAGGUUUUGAUUCUUCUCCUUUAGUGCCUUCAACUUUUCUUCAAGUUGAUGUUUGAGUCCUGCAGUGAGUCGGACUUCUUUUUCUUCUCCUCCCAGAGAAUGAUCAGAUUGGCAUCCAUG